rnacentral:rRNA from 1 species
UGGGGAAUAUUGCACAAUGGGCGCAAGCCUGAUGCAGCCAUGCCGCGUGUAUGAAGAAGCCCUUCGGGUUGUAAAGUACUUUCAGUCGGGAGGAAGGUGGUAAGGUUAAUAACCUUAUCAAUUGACGUUACCGACAGAAGAAGCACCGGCUAACUCCGUGCCAGCAGCCGCGGUAAUACGGAGGGUGCAAGCGUUAAUCGGAAUUACUGGGCGUAAAGCGCACGCAGGCGGUUGAUUGAGUCAGAUGUGAAAUCCCCGGGCUUAACCCGGGAAUUGCAUCUGAUACUGGUCAGCUAGAGUCUUGUAGAGGGGGGUAGAAUUCCAUGUGUAGCGGUGAAAUGCGUAGAGAUGUGGAGGAAUACCGGUGGCGAAGGCGGCCCCCUGGACAAAGACUGACGCUCAGGUGCGAAAGCGUGGGGAGCAAACAGG